rnacentral:rRNA from 1 species
CCUACGGGGGGCAGCAGUGGGGAAUAUUGCACAAUGGGGGAAACCCUGAUGCAGCGACGCCGCGUGAGUGAAGAAGUAUUUCGGUACGUAAAGCUCUAUCAGCAGGGAAGAAAAUGACGGUACCUGACUAAGAAGCCCCGGCUAACUACGUGCCAGUAGCCGCGGUAAUACGUAGGGGGCAAGCGUUAUCCGUAUUUACUGGGUGUAAAGGGAGCGUAGACGGCAGCGCAAGUCUGGAGUGAAAUCCCAUGGCUUAACCAUGGAACUGCUUUGGAAACUGUGCAGCUAGAGUGCAGGAGAGGUAAGCGGAAUUCCUAGUGUAGCGGUGAAAUGCGUAGAUAUUAGGAGGAACACCAGUGGCGAAGGCGGCUUACUGGACUGUAACUGACGUUGAGGCUCGAAAGCGUGGGGAGCAAACAGGAUUAGAUACCCCAGUAGUC